rnacentral:misc_RNA from 1 species
UGGUUCUGGCAUCGAUGAAGAACGCAGCGAAAUGCGAUAAGUAAUGUGAAUUGCAGAAUUCAGUGAAUCAUCAAAUCUUUGAACGCACAUUGCGCCCAUUAGUAUUCUAGUGGGCAUGCCUGUUCGAGCGUCAUUUCAACCCUUAAGCCCUCGUCGCUUAGCGUUGGGAGCCUACGGCACCGUAGCUCCCCAAAGUUAGUGGCGGAGUCGGUUCACACCCCAGACGUAGUAGAAUUUCACCUCGCCUGUAGUUGGACCGGUCCCCUGCCGUAAAACAACAUAAUCUUCUCAAGGUCGACCUCGGAUCAGGUAGGAAUACCCGCUGA